GUGCCAGCAGCCGCGGUAAUUCAGAGGGUGCGAGCGUUAAUCGGAAUAACUGGGCGUAAAGGGCACGCAGGCGGACUUUUAAGUGAGGUGUGAAAUCCCCGGGCUUAACCUGGGAAUUGCAUUUCAGACUGGGAGUCUAGAGUACUUUAGGGAGGGGUAGAAUUCCACGUGUAGCGGUGAAAUGCGUAGAGAUGUGGAGGAAUACCGAAGGCGAAGGCAGCCCCUUGGGAAUGUACUGACGCUCAUGUGCGAAAGCGUGGGGAGCAAACAGGAUUAGAUACCCUGGUAGUCCACGCUGUAAACGCUGUCGAUUUGGGGAUUGGGCCUUGAGCUUGGUGCCCGAAGCUAACGUGAUAAAUCGACCGCCUGGGGAGUACGGCCGCAAGGUUAAAACUCAAAUGAAUCGACGGGGGCCCGCACAAGCGGUGGAGCAUGUGGUUUAAUUCGAUGCAACGCGAAGAACCUUACCUACUCUUGACAUCCAUGGAAUCCUGUAGAGAUACGGGAGUGCCUUCGGGAACCA
rnacentral:rRNA from 1 species